GGGUGGCACUGGUGUGCAAGGAGUGUGCAAAGCAGGGUUCGAGGGGCGAUUGCUGGGGUGCGAGGGGUGGUGCUGGUGUGCAAGGAGUGUGCAAAGGAGGGGUGCUGGUGUGCAAGGAGCGAGCAAUGCGUGUGCAAGGAGUGACACCAACGUGCAAAGGGCUGUGAGCAGCACUGGUGGGCAAUGAGUGUGCAAAGGGGGGUGUGAGGGGCAGCGCUGGUGUGCAAUGAGUGUGCAAAGGAGGGGUGAUGGUGUGCAAGGAGUGAGCAAUGGGUGUGCAAGGAGUGACACCAACGUGCAGAGGGCUGUGAGCGGCACUGGUGUGCAACGAGUGUGCAAAGGGGG
ensembl:lncRNA